UAACACAUGCAAGUCGAACGGUCUUUUAGGAGACAGUGGCGGACGGGUGAGUAACGCGUAAGAAUCUACCUUCAGGUUGGGGACAACCACUGGAAACGGUGGCUAAUACCGAAUGUGCCGAGAGGUGAAAGGCUUGCUGCCUGAAGAAGAGCUUGCGUCUGAUUAGCUAGUUGGUAGUGUAAGAGACUACCAAGGCGACGAUCAGUAGCUGGUCUGAGAGGAUGAUCAGCCACACUGGGACUGAGACACGGCCCAGACUCCUACGGGAGGCAGCAGUGGGGAAUUUUCCGCAAUGGGCGAAAGCCUGACGGAGCAAUACCGCGUGAGGGAGGAAGGCUCUUGGGUUGUAAACCUCUUUUCUCAGGGAAGAACAGAAUGACGGUACCUGAGGAAUAAGCAUCGGCUAACUCCGUGCCAGCAGCCGCGGUAAUACGGAGGAUGCAAGCGUUAUCCGGAAUGAUUGGGCGUAAAGGGUCCGCAGGUGGCAUUGUAAGUCUGCUGUUAAAGAGUUUGGCUCAACCAAAUAAGAGCAGUGGAAACUACAAAGCUAGAGUGUGGUCGGGGCAGAGGGAAUUCCUGGUGUAGCGGUGAAAUGCGUAGAUAUCAGGAAGAACACCAGUGGCGAAGGCGCUCUGCUAGGCCGAGACUGACACUGAGGGACGAAAGCUAGGGGAGCGAAUGGGAUUAGAUACCCCAGUAGUCCUAGCCGUAAACGAUGGAUACUAGGCGUAGCUCGUAUCGACCCGAGCUGUGCCGGAGCUAACGCGUUAAGUAUCCCGCCUGGGGAGUACGCAGGCAACUGUGAAACUCAAAGGAAUUGACGGGGGCCCGCACAAGCGGUGGAGUAUGUGGUUUAAUUCGAUGCAACGCGAAGAACCUUACCAAGGCUUGACAUGUCACGAAUCCUAUUGAAAGAUGGGAGUGCCUUCGGGAGCGUGAACACAGGUGGUGCAUGGCUGUCGUCAGCUCGUGUCGUGAGAUGUUGGGUUAAGUCCCGCAACGAGCGCAACCCUCGUUUUUAGUUGCCAGCAUUAAGAUGGGCACUCUAGAGAGACUGCCGGUGACAAACCGGAGGAAGGUGGGGAUGACGUCAAGUCAGCAUGCCCCUUACGUCUUGGGCUACACACGUACUACAAUGCUACGGACAAAGGGCAGCUACACAGCGAUGUGAUGCGAAUCUCGUAAACCGUAGCUCAGUUCAGAUCGAAGGCUGCAACUCGCCUUCGUGAAGGAGGAAUCGCUAGUAAUUGCAGGUCAGCAUACUGCAGUGAAUUCGUUCCCGGGCCUUGUACACACCGCCCGUCACACCAUGGAAGUUGGUCACGCCCGAAGUCGUUACCCCAACCUAUUGGAGGGGGAUGCCUAAGGUAGGACUGAUGACUGGGGUGAAGUCGUAACAAGGUAGCCGUA
rnacentral:rRNA from 1 species